CAGAGAGCACUUGGAUCACAGAUAAGAUGGCGGUUGGAUCAGAUGGGUUUAUGUGCACCAACGCUCAGUGACACGAACGGAUUUGAGCACUCCCUUCCCUUUCAAUCGCACAUCGUACAUCAUUGACCGAUUAGAAAAUCCUGUACCUUUGGCAGGAAUUGGUGAAUUGUUAGAAGACAAUGGGAACGACGAUGAAAUAGAAAAUAUUGCCAUUAACGCAAUCGUUGAAAUUGCAGAAGGUUU